rnacentral:tRNA from 1 species
GCUUUCAAAGGAUAAUAGUAAUCCAAUGGUCUUAGGAGCCAUCCAUCUUGGUGCAAAUCCAAGUGAAAGUA